GGAUGUGAGGGCGAUCUGGCUGCGACAUCUGUAACCCCACUGAUCGCCAGUGUUGGAUUCUACUGAAAUGGUGGGCUAGGCGGCUGUCCUCUUCCACCCUCACCGCCUCAUGUGCUUCCCUCCCAAAGCUGCACGCUUGAUGGAAGAGGCCGACCAUCCCAGAUAGGAAGGUACCACUCUUUGAAA